GGAAGGGUGCCCCUUGUUCGGAUUCUCAAUCCAUGGGGAUCAGGGCAGAACAUGGAGUGGACAGGGGACUGGAGUGAUGAUUCCCCUCUAUGGAAUCAAAUCCCAAUCUGGACUAGGGAAUCAUUUGGAUUUACGAAGAAGAAUGAUGGUGAAUUCUGGAUGAGAUUUGAUGACUUCUGCCAAAAGUUUGCAAAUAUCACGGUUUUGACACUGGGACCCGACUUUGAUGGUGAUG